CUGUGCAGCUUUCACCUGUAUCCAGACUAGGAGCACCAUUCGACAGAAAAUUGAGGUUUUGGGGAUUAAACUCGAUCUGGAGUCAGGUGGAUAGAAGAUCCUGCAACCGCUUUGUCAAUAUAAAUGCAAACAGAGAGUCGGCCACCAGGAGAAAGAUAUGGCAUCUUGUGCAGGGUCGGACCUGGGGAUCAUUCAGCUGGGGAAGACUGGAGCAGGGAAGAGUGCAACAGGAAACACCAAAGAGGUGUUUAUAGAAGAUUUCGCUUCUGAGUCUGUGACUACACAAUGUGAGGAUGUCCAGAGGAUAAAGAAUACAGCUUGGGACACUACUGAAACAGUAGGAGGAGGAAGAGGAGGAGGAGAAACAGGAGGAGGAGGAGUA